GACUGCUAUACGGAUCCGCCUUCAAGUCGCCCAACCCGCGUUACUGUCACAUUCGUUUUGGCUCCGCCUAGAGGAUACAGCUCCGCCUCUGAAAAUUGUACGGUCAGACAGCUGAUCCUGAGCGGACUCGUGUCUGAUUCGCAUACGCGGACGCGACAAACUAAACCGGCGCGCGCCGCCUAGAGUUAUAGGCUCCGCCUACACGCGCUGAGCCGACCAAUGUCUGCACCCGCAGACGUGGACGCGCCUACUAGCGUGUACGCGCAUGAGCCAAGAUCUCUGGACUUUCUUUGCUGGAACACGAACGUAAGUAUAGAUUUAUUGAUUUAUUGCUACAUUCGCAGUAAAGAUCAGCCUUUGUGUUUCCAUCAUCAUUUAUGUAUGAUUGUAAUGACGUUGUUUGAUAUUAGGACUAGCAGUAAAACUUUAUAUUCUGUAAAAAAAGGCUAUUUUAUUUCCAGCGCCGCCUCCCAGAAUGCUUUGCAUGGGGACGUGCGUCUGACGUCACGUAUCCAGAAAAUUCAAAAUGGCUGCACGCGGUAGGUGAGGCCCGAGCGAAGAAAAGUGGAAAAGAGUGUUAUUCGUCAAAAAACCCACACAACGACGGUCAUUUUUUCGCCGUGCUAUUGUAAAAUUGUCUUUUAUCUGUGUUUUGUGUUCCGGGGGACCCCGACUCCAGAAUGUGAAAGUUUCCCGCGUGAAGCCGUGGAGCUCGAGAUCCUGUUUACUGUGGACUAGCUGUGUGUAAAGCCCUGUUGUUUUUGUUUCCAUUACAAAAAAAAAGCUCCACCGUCUCGCCGAGUGCCAGCAAGAGUCAUGAGUACUUGUCAACUCAACUCCUCAACUGGAGAUAACUUUCUAGCACCUCACCAUGGGGAAGGAUGUAUUCAUAUGCCUUCACCAGCACAUGCAUUAAACAUGCAGAGAGUUACACAAGUUCUUACCACCUUGGGGCACCAUUCAGGGUGCCUUUUCAUCUGAUUAAAUUUAUAAUGAACAGGGACAUUGCGGUUGUCCCAAGUGGAUGGUAUGAUGAUAGGAUGGUUUUCUGGCCCAGCUAUACAAACACCGACAGAAUUGAAAGGGCCGCUUUAAAUGCGGUGCAGCAUGAGCCAAACUGGCCAUGAUUUGAUGUUUCUGUUGUCUGAACUUGUGGUAUGCAAAUUCAUAAUCUUCUUGUUUAAAAAUAACGUCAUAGUUGCUUCUCUUUAUGCUUGGAAUAACCUAUUGUGUCUAUGUUCUGACCAGGUCUCUUGUAAGAGAGAGACCUGAUUUAUCAUGGCGUAGUGGGUAGAGCGCCCGUGUCAGAAACCUGAGGGUUGCAGGUUCGCUCCCCGCCUCUUACCAUGCCGUUGUGUCCUUGGGCAGGACACUUCACCCUUGCCCCCGGUGCCGCUCACACCGGUGAAUGAAUGAUACGUGGUGGUCGGAGGAGCCGUAGGCGCAAAUUGGCAGCCACGCUUCCGUCAGUCUACCCCAGGG